rnacentral:rRNA from 1 species
GAUGAACGCUGGCGGCGUGCCUAAUACAUGCAAGUCGAGCGAACGGACGAGAAGCUUGCUUCUCUGAUGUUAGCGGCGGACGGGUGAGUAACACGUGGAUAACCUACCUAUAAGACUGGGAUAACUUCGGGAAACCGGAGCUAAUACCGGAUAAUAUUUUGAACCGCAUGGUUCAAAAGUGAAAGACGGUCUUGCUGUCACUUAUAGAUGGAUCCGCGCUGCAUUAGCUAGUUGGUAAGGUAACGGCUUACCAAGGCAACGAUGCAUAGCCGACCUGAGAGGGUGAUCGGCCACACUGGAACUGCGACACGGUCCAGACUCCUACGGGAGGCAGCAGUAGGGAAUCUUCCGCAGUGGGCGAAAUCCUGACGGAGCAGCGCCGCGUGAGUGAUGACGGUCUUCGGAUCGUAAAACUCUGUUAUUAGGGAAGACCAUAUGUGUAAGUCACUGUGCACGUCUUGACGGUACCUAAUCAGAAAGCCACGGCUAACUACGUG